rnacentral:lncRNA from 1 species
GUGUGUCAUUUCCUCCAUUCAUUCUGUUCAGCUUGUGAAUCAUUACAUGGAUGGUGAAGUGGACUCUUUUAUUUCCCGCUGACAUUCAGAGAAGCGAGUCACAGGCGUGAGGAAGGAUGUGUCUGGAGUGAUGUUCGCAGGCUGUUAUGCUGAUGUAUUCAGUACGGACACGCUGAUGGAGUCUUUGGAGCGACGGCUACAGAGGCCUUUGUUGGCCAAAUCCAGGACAUUACCCAGCAUCCCUCAGUCCCCCGCCGCCAUCCGCGUGCAGCAGUCGGAGAAAGUUUGUGAACGUCAACAGCGCCCACAUGUUCCUUCCAGCCCUGGUGGUCUUGAAGCAUGUACGCUGCCUCCUGCAGGCGAGAUGUGGCGGCUGGAAGAUGAAAACGAGGCCGAAGUCGCUCCGGGUGCCGUCGACCCGCGGCCGCGCUCUCAGUCGCCGUUCUCACAUUUCCGGCGGCGGGCGGCAUAUCUGAGGAAAAGCAUCUCGGC